UGAGUAGCACGUGAGCAACCUGCCCCGAAGACCGGGACAACACCGGGAAACCGGUGCUAAUACCGGAUAUCCCUACCGGACCGCAUGAUCUGAUAAGGAAAUGGAUUCCGCUUCGGGAGGGGCUCGCGGCCUAUCAGCUAGUUGGUGAGGUAACGGCCCACCAAGGCAUCGACGGGUAGCUGGUCUGAGAGGACGAUCAGCCACACUGGGACUGAGACACGGCCCAGACUCCUACGGGAGGCAGCAGUGGGGAAUCUUGCGCAAUGGGCGAAAGCCUGACGCAGCAACGCCGCGUGGAGGACGAAGGCUUUCUGAGUUGUAAACUCCUUUCAGCAGGGACGAUAGUGACGGUACCUGCAGAAGAAGCACCGGCCAACUACGUGCCAGCAGCCGCGGUGAUACGUAGGGUGCAAGCGUUGUCCGGAUUUAUUGGGCGUAAAGAGCUCGUAGGCGGUUUGAUUAGUCGGGUGUGAAACCUCCAGGCUCAACCUGGAGCCGCCACUCGAUACUGUCAUGACUAGAAUUCGGUAGGGGACCACGGAAUUCCUGGUGUAGCGGUGAAAUGCGCAGAUAUCAGGAGGAACACCAGCAGCGAAGGCGGUGGUCUGGGCCGACAUUGACGCUGAGGAGCGAAAGCGUGGGGAGCGAACAGGAUUAGAUACCCUG
rnacentral:rRNA from 1 species